rnacentral:siRNA from 1 species
ACCCGAAGUGUAUUGUUAUGUGGU